rnacentral:lncRNA from 1 species
UACCCCUUUUUGUACCACUUCUGGGUUCCUUCGUUGAGUUCUUCCUUUUAAAUUUUGUGCCUCUUUCGCCAUUAUUGCUUUCUGAGAUGGCAUACAAGCUCUCCUACCCAUUGGUUCUUUGUUUUUAAUUUUCACCAGUUGAAUACAUUUCAUAUCCAUAUUACUGAAUUAAUCCUAUUUUUUUGGUAAAUAAAUAAAUUUUACUUCACCAACGCGAAUAUUUACAAAGUCAAACAGGGACAAACCCUCUAUUUCUCAAAAUUUAAAACAAACUACCGCACACUAGUUCAAGGAACCGCAUCUAAGUAGAAAAGGGUUCCAAACUAGUGAGCAACUGUCCCUCCAAUAUUAAGGCAUCAACAAAACCAAUACAGGAGCAUAAUUUUCAGCAACGUAACUAAAUCACUAUAUCAGGGCCCUUCCUGUAGCCGCUUUAGAACCGGAUCCCACUUCCUAUAUGUUUGACCUUAGAUGUGCAUAUGGAUGGCUAUUACUUUGCAUACACUAUCUUCUUGAUACUUUUCAUGUUGGAAUCUGAUGAGGUUCCUUUCUCUCCAGAUGGCGUUAACCAUCAUAACAAAUACACAACAAAUUAUAGCCCCCUAGCAUAUUUUUCUUGCACUUGAUUUGCAACCCAUUCCACUUUUGAUAUCCAGCUUCCAACUAUUCUUUGAACACCAAGUCAUUUUAUCAAUCUUAUCCACAAUCUUCUAGUAAUAUGACAGUCCAAGAAUAAAUGAUCAUGAGUUUCAUCAUCAUUUCCACAAAAACACACACACUGGUGGGGCUUUAAUCCCAAAUCUGGCUAACGGCCUUUCAAUGGUAGACAGUCUAUGUAAUAAAGCUAACCACAAAAUGAAUUUAUGUCUGGGAUGCACACAAUGAUUCAAGAUGAUACCUUUCCAUGGGACUUUUGGGAGUUGAGGAAGUACUGCAUCAUAGUACAACUUUUUGAUAUGGAAUUUUGAGCCUUGCACACGUGAAUUCAAUCUAGCUAGCAACUGCCCUUGUAGUCCUGGAGCUAUCAUAACAUGAUGUCUUGUAUUUAUGAUCUUCCUGAUUGCCCAGGUGGCAUUUCUUGGACUCUCACAUAUCUCCACAGUGUCAUUUUUCAAAUAAUAGGCAUGCACCCAUAUUACUGAAUAUCAGGUUUUAAUUUUACUCCACCUUGACAUUAUAUUGUUAGGCAGGAAAAAUAAUUUAUUCCAUAGUCUAUUGGAGUAGUUGUAAGCAGACGUUAACUAACUUCCAAGUUACUCCCUCCGUCCCAUUUUACCCGUCCUAAAUUGAGAUGACACAACUAUUAAGAAAACAAUGAUUGGUAAUAUAACUUUACCAUUUUGC